GACGAACGCUGGCGGCGUGCCUAAUACAUGCAAGUCGAGCGAGCUUGCCUAGAUGAAUUUGGUGCUUGCACCAAAUGAAACUAGAUACAAGCGAGCGGCGGACGGGUGAGUAACGCGUGGGUAACCUGCCCAAGAGACUGGGAUAACACCUGGAAACAGAUGCUAAUACCGGAUAACAACACUAGACGCAUGUCUAGAGUUUAAAAGAUGGUUCUGCUGUCACUCUUGGAUGGACCUGCGGUGCAUUAGCUAGUUGGUAAGGCAACGGCUUACCAAGGCAAUGAUGCAUAGCCGAGUUGAGAGACUGAUCGGCCACAUUGGGACUGAGACACGGCCCAAACUCCUACGGGAGGCAGCAGUAGGGAAUCUUCCACAAUGGACGCAAGUCUGAUGGAGCAACGCCGCGUGAGUGAAGAAGGGUUUCGGCUCGUAAAGCUCUGUUGGUAGUGAAGAAAGAUAGAGGUAGUAACUGGCCUUUAUUUGACGGUAAUUACUUAGAAAGUCACGGCUAACUACGUG
rnacentral:rRNA from 1 species